rnacentral:rRNA from 1 species
CAGUCGCCGCGGUAAUACGAAGGGGGCUAGCGUUGCUCGGAAUUACUGGGCGUAUAGGGUGCGUAGGCGGUUUCGUAAGUCUUAUGUGAAAUCUAUGGGCUCAACCCAUAGUCUGCAUGGGAAACUGCGAGGCUUGAGGAUGGGAGAGGUGAGUGGAAUUUCCGGUGUAGCGGUGAAAUGCGUAGAUAUAUGAAGGAACACCGGUGGCGAAAGCGGCUCUCUGGCUUGUAACUGACGCUGAGGCUCGAAAGCGUGGGGAGCAAACAGGAUUAGAUACCCCAGUAGUCCCUGUCUCUUAUAU